GCUUUGUGGUGUAUUGGUCAGCCCGCUCGACGCGUAAUCGAGAGGUCUGUGGUUCAAUUCCCGGCGAAGGCG
rnacentral:tRNA from 1 species